CCUACGGGUGGCAGCAGUGAGGAAUAUUGGUCAAUGGACGAGAGUCUGAACCAGCCAAGUAGCGUGAAGGAUGACUGCCCUAUGGGUUGUAAACUUCUUUUAUAUGGGAAUAAAAUGUUCCACGUGUGGGAUUUUGUAUGUACCAUAUGAAUAAGGAUCGGCUAACUCCGUGCCAGCAGCCGCGGUAAUACGGAGGAUCCGAGCGUUAUCCGGAUUUAUUGGGUGUAAAGGGAGCGUAGGUGGAUUGUUAAGUCAGUUGUGAAAGUUUGCGGCUCAACCGUAAAAUUGCAGUUGAAACUGGCAGUCUUGAGUACAGUAGAGGUGGGCGGAAUUCGUGGUGUAGCGGUGAAAUGCUUAGAUAUCACGAAGAACUCCGAUUGCGAAGACAGUUCACUGGACUGCAACUGACACUGAGGCUCGAAAGUGUGGGUAUCAAACAGGAUUAGAUACCCCUGUAGUC
rnacentral:rRNA from 1 species